CUGCACACUCCAAAAUUUUUAAAGAAAAAGGAGAGAGAGAAAAAAAAGUAAAAGAAAAGAAACCCAAAAGGGAAAAUAUAGCUAAGGUGAACUGCAAAACCAUAUUCCUGCUGCUGUCAGUUAUGAUGCACUGAGAAAACUUCAGAGACCUAAACUUUUUCCAGAGAAGAGAAGCUUUACUGGUGUUCCAGCCCUAAGAAACCUUUGUUCAAGAAAACGGCAGAUGCUCUGUUGAAUCCACUGGAGAUUGUUCUGAUACUAAGGACAAGUAUCAACCAUCUUUCCUGUGAAAAAUUCCCUCUCGUACUUUAGUUCUGUGGAUCCAAAAUUUAUAGCAUUCUUCUACCACCACAGGGGCUCAUAUGACAUUAACAGACAAGACACUUUUCAGAAAGACAGGCAACGUGUUGGACCUUCCGGAGCUUCUCAGAAGACAGAGGGUUUUCUUUUGAGGUAAAUUUGAUAGUACAUUUUGAUAGUACGGGAGGCGAUACGGCAUGGUGACAGAAAAGCGCCGGCUUGGUUAGCAGGACCACCUGGCAGGGCUGCAGGCUGUGCCACUUACCAGGCAGGGGACCUUGGGCCAGCUGCUUGGCCUCACUCACCCUGUUUCUCAGCUGCAAUUGGGAUGAACAGACUGCCUGCUUCGGGGUUGCCUAAAACUCACAUUGGUUAAUGAUGUGAAAUGCUUAGCGCAGUGCCUGGCAUAGAGAGAAUUCUCAUUAGAUGAUACCUCAGCUGGGCUUUAGGAGCUACAGAAGAAGCUGCAUCUCCAUGAGCUCAGCGUGUUUCUAGCUUUCCUUUUUGUUUUCUAUUCAACCUUUCACCCAACUCAGCUUCUCAAUCCCUAAAUGACAAAGGUUUGGGAAGGAAGACUUGGACCGAGGCUUGCAUUUGUUUCUGAGAAUUAAACGUUAUGUUUUCUUCA
ensembl:lncRNA NUTM2B-AS1 NUTM2B antisense RNA 1